rnacentral:rRNA from 1 species
CAGGCCUAACACAUGCAAGUCGAACGAGAAGCCAACCUCUGAUUCCUUCGGGAUGAUGAGGUUUGCAGAAAGUGGCGAACGGGUGAGUAACGCGUGGGUAAUCUACCCUGUUUAGUGGGGGAUAACCCUCCGAAAGGAGGGCUAAUACCGCAUAAUAUCUUAUCCUCUAAAAGAAGAGAAGAUUAAAGAUGGCCUCUAUACUAUGCUAUCGCUUCAGGAUGAGCCUGCGUCCUAUUAGUUAGUUGGUGGGGUAAUGGCCUACCAAGACCACAAUGGGUAGCCGGUCUGAGAGGAUGUACGGCCACACUGGGACUGAGAUACGGCCCAGACUCCUACGGGAGGCAGCAGUGGGGAAUAUUGCGCAAUGGGGGAAACCCUGACGCAGCGACGCCGCGUGGAUGAUGAAGGCCUUUGGGUUGUAAAAUCCUGUUCUGGGGGAAGAAACCUUAAGGGUCCAAUAAGCCCUUAAGCUGACGGUACCCCAAGAGAAAGCUCCGGCUAAUUAUGUGCCAGCAGCCGCGGUAAUACAUAAGGAGCAAGCGUUAUCCGGAAUUAUUGGGCGUAAAGGGCUCGUAGGCGGUCUUAAAAGUCAGGUGUGAAAUUAUCAGGCUCAACCUGAUAAGGUCAUCUGAAACUUUAAGACUUGAGGAUAGAAGAGGAAAGUGGAAUUCCCGGU